rnacentral:rRNA from 1 species
GAUGAACGCUGGCGGCGUGCUUAACACAUGCAAGUCGAACGGAAAGGCCCUGCUUUUGUGUGGUGCUCGAUUGGCGAACGGGUGAGUAACACGUGAGUAACCUGCCCUUGACUUUGGGGUAACUUCAGGAAACUGGGGCUAAUACCGGGUAGGAGCUCCUGCUGCAUGGUGGGGGUUGGAAAGUUUCGGCGGUUGGGGAUGGACUCGCAGCUUAUCAGCUGGUUGGGGGGGUAGUGGCUUACCAAGGCUUUGACGGGUAGCCGGCCUGAGAGGGUGACCGGCCACAAUGGGACUGAGAUACGGCCCAGACUCCUACGGGAGGCAGCAGUGGGAAAUAUUGCACAAUGGGCGGAAGCCUGAUGCAGCAGCGCCGCGUGCGGGAUGACGGCCUUCGGGUUGUAAACCGCUUUCGACUGUGACGAAGCGAGCGUGACGGUACUGGGUAAAGAAGCACCGGCUAACUACGUG